AACGGUCUAUACCUGCGGUACCUGCGGAAGGAUCAUUACCGAGUGAGGGCCCUCUAGGUCCAACCUCCCACCCGUGUUUAUCGUACCUUGUUGCUUCGGCGGGCCCGCCGCAAGGCCGCCGGGGGGCGUCUGUCCCCGGGCCCGCGCCCGCCGAAGACACCUGUGAACGCUGUAUGAAGAUUGCAGUCUGAGCGAAAAGCUAAAUCGUUAAAACUUUCAGCAAUGGAUCUCUAGAUCGGA
rnacentral:misc_RNA from 1 species